AUUUUUUAUUUACUUUAUUUUAUUUUAUUUUAUUUACCAAAAAAGACCAGAAGGCUCUGACCCUCUUCACAUGCCCUUUUUUUUUUCCAGAGCCUUCUCAAUUCUAUCUCUAUCAGCAAAAUAUCUACCACCAAAUCAACAAGCUAUCUAUCAUCAACAAGCUAUAAUCUUUAUCAGCACAAGCUAUAAUCUUUAUCACCAAAUCUCUAUCAACACAAGCUAUAAUCUCUAUCAGCAAAUCUUUAUCAACAAAUCAACAAGCUAUAUAUCAAAAAUAAAAAUAAAUCUAUCUGUAUCUCAGACCGUUGCUGCAAUUUUCAGGUUUCUGAGCUAAUUGGAGUAGUCUUUUAAUUGAUAGGCACAUAUAUAACUUAAGUGGUACUCUGUUAGUUUGAAACCUCAGUAGCUUUUGCCGAAGUUUGAUACAAUUAGCCAAGACGGUAAAAGAGAACCUAAAUGAUCAGGGAAUCAUCCCCCGGCCUCCAGGCGGGAUCCAAACCAUUUUUGCAGAGACAUCCGAUUAGCUGCUAGGAGACAUGAGCAUUUUAUGCAAGGAAAGCACAGAUUUGGACUCAUGUAACUUACAUCAAGUUUACCAAGUUUACCAAGCAAAGGCUGGAAAUAGCUUAUGUUACAAUGACUGCCAAAUCUGAGAUUUUUUUUCCCUUUAUUUUAGCUAGGUGGACACACAAAUUCUGAAUCUGAGGAAUAAGACAUGCAUAAAAGACAAAAAGCUUGACAAGAAGUGUCUUGAAGAGGUCAUGAAAGAGUUUCAUCUUGCAAGAGCAUUCUUCUGUUCAAGUGUCAAUCUCAUGCAGAUGUUGGAGCACCUAUAAUCUUUCUACUUGUGUCUUUCUAGCAAGUUAUCUAUGUAACUUUGUUCCACAAACUAUGUCUCUGUUUUAACUUUGUUCCACAAAUGAAUGUAAUGUAGUAUGAAGCAUGUCAUGUUAACAGAUACAUAGAUUGUAUUUAUCUACACUAUAA